rnacentral:ncRNA from 1 species
GAGAUAGAGGUUGCGUGAAUUAUCAGUAAUUUUUUGGAUGUGGCAGGCACAGGAGAAGAAAAAUGAAAGGGAGGAACGCCGAAAGGGUUUGGAACUACUGCGGAAGAACCCUUGGGCAUACAGCUAAGAACUGUAUGACUGUCAUCAGAUUCUGAUGGGGCGCUAUCCGA